rnacentral:sRNA from 1 species
UGAGCCACUGUGCCCAGCUGCAAACAGUCUUUAUGUGGGUAUCAAUGACAGUCUCACCAUUGCUCAUAAGUGGUGAGAGUAAGAGCAAUGCUCCAUUUUCUUCUUGAUCUCAAAGGGAAGUUGGCAAGCUCCCCAUGGCCUCUAAAAACCACCUGCCAGAUUUCAGGGACUGUUUUAUUUUUUUCUUUUUCUUUUUUCCUGUUUUCUAAUGCAGGCCCAAUGUGACAAA